rnacentral:rRNA from 1 species
AUUGAACGCUGGCGGCAGGCCUAACACAUGCAAGUCGAACGGUAACAGGAAGAAGCUUGCUUCUUUGCUGACGAGUGGCGGACGGGUGAGUAAUGUCUGGGAAACUGCCUGAUGGAGGGGGAUAACUACUGGAAACGGUAGCUAAUACCGCAUAACGUCGCAAGACCAAAGAGGGGGACCUUCGGGCCUCUUGCCAUCGGAUGUGCCCAGAUGGGAUUAGCUAGUAGGCGGGGUAACGGCUCACCUAGGCGACGAUCCCUAGCUGGUCUGAGAGGAUGACCAGCUACACUGGAACUGAGACACGGUCCAGACUCCUACGGGAGGCAGCAGUGGGGAAUAUUGCACAAUGGGCGCAAGCCUGAUGCAGCCAUGCCGCGUGUAUGAAGAAGGCCUUCGGGUUGUAAAGUACUUUCAGCGGGGAGGAAGGGAGUAAAGUUAAUACCUGUGCUCAUUGACGUUACCCGCAGAAGAAGCACCGGCUAACUCCGU